AGAAAUAGAAAAAUCAAUUGAGUGUAAUGGGUGGUCACACCUAGUGCGACUGACUUUCGGAUAUGUACAUAAGUUUGUUGGUUAAAUGGUUUUGGCAUUAUCAGACCGAGCCUACUAGACUGUGGAGGCGUGUGAGUACUGCACUACAUGGUAAUGAUUCUGAUAGCAGUCUGGUCACUUGCGGAAGCCAAUCAUAUGGGGUGUGGCGUAACAUUUGUCAAAUAAAUAAGGUGUUAUUGAAAAAGUGUAUCAUUCCUAAUCAGCUGAUGCAUGGGGUUUCACUACAAGGUCAAUCUGGUGUGGAAAGGUGGAUCUGAGAUGCAGGUGGAAGUGAUCAAGCUUUUGCUAUUGCUUCAUUUCGUAAAAAUUUACAAAGUUAUGUUGGUGGGGCGUUUAAUGUGGACAUUCGCAGCAGUGCACACUAAAUAUAAUGCAGGGUCAUGUAUCGAAUGGUGUAGUCUGUUUCCUGGGAUUCUUGGGCGAGUAAUCGAUCUUCUCUAAUUAUAAUCUGCUGCCAUCAGGUAGCCCGGAAUGGGCGGCAUCGGGUAUUAGAAGAGCGUUGAUGUGUAUGAGUAAAAGUGACGGAACUGUUGUUGAUCAAAGACAUGCGCCGAGUGCCAGGAAUAGAACCAUAAACUUUUUAAAAACAGGAUACUAAUAGAAACAUCUACAUAUUGGGUUUAUGACGUUGGGCUGUUUUAUUUUAUUUUUAUUUUUUUUUUUUAUGAAAAUGUCCAAAUAGAUUUUGGCUGAAAAUUUAAAAGAGGAUUUAUAGAUUCAAGAAAUGUAAUGUAAUAUGUUAUAAAAGUUUUGAUAAUAAUAUA